rnacentral:rRNA from 1 species
GAUGAACGCUGGCGGCGUGCCUAAUACAUGCAAGUCGAGCGAACAGACGAGGAGCUUGCUCCUCUGACGUUAGCGGCGGACGUGUGAGUAACACGUGGAUAACCUACCUAUAAGACUGGGAUAACUUCGGGAAACCGGAGCUAAUACCGGAUAAUAUAUUGAACCGCAUGGUUCAAUAGUGAAAGACGGUUUUGCUGUCACUUAUAGAUGGAUCCUCGCCGCAUUAUCUAGUUGUUAAGGUAACGGCUUACCAAGGCAACGAUGCGUAGCCGACCUGAGAGGGUGAUCGGCCACACUGGAACUGAGACACGGUCCAGACUCCUACGGGAGGCAGCAGUAGGGAAUCUUCCGCAAUGGGCGAAAGCCUGACGGAGCAACGCCGCGUGAGUGAUGAAGGUCUUCGGAUCGUAAAACUCUGUUAUUAGGGAAGAACAAAUGUGUAAGUAACUAUGCACGUCUUGACGGUACCUAAUCAGAAAGCCACGGCUAACUACGUG